UUCGAGGCUACUCCGCGUCAUAUUGUUGUGUAUCUGAACAAGACAAUUUAACUAAACUUGUUCUACUCAACCUAGGGUGUAUGAUGGAUACCAGCUGGAAUCCCGUCCAGGAGAUAAUGGAUGGGAUGAGCUUUUGACACUUGAAACCGGAAUUCGGAAACACCAGCCCCAUGUGCCUUGCAAGGAUUUAACUCGGGCUAUCUAAGUGGUUAAAAUCGAACCUGCCGCUAGGUGUUUUAAUGCAGAAACAUAAAUUAUAACGAUAUCUACCAGAACCUUCGUCGGUAUGUUUUUGGCGUGUGUCGGACGGACAGUGGAGAUGAGAUUCCGUGGUUCGCGUCUCGUUACCACCAAAAAA